UACGAGGGGGCGAGCGUUGUUCGGAAUUAUUGGGCGUAAAGGGUGCGUAGGCGGUUCCGCAAGUCCUGUGUGAAAUCUUCGGGCUCAACUCGAAGUCUGCACGGGAAACUGCGGGCUUGAGUGUGGGAGAGGUGAGUGGAAUUCCGGUGGAGCGGUGAAUGCGUAGAGAUCAGAAAGAACACCAACGGCGAAAGCACUCUGCUGGGCCGACACUGACACUGAGAGACGAAAGCUAGGGGAGCGAAUGGG
rnacentral:rRNA from 1 species